UUUUUUCUCUCUGGGCUUAAUCUGGAUACUUUCUACUUGCUCAUCUCUCACUUCUGCUCUCUUUUGCUCCGUUUGAUCUGCUGUUAAAUACCUCUAUUUUAUUCUUAAUUGAAGAAUAAUCAUGGUUGAAGUCUGUGUUUGAUGACUCCAAUAUCUAGAUACCGGGAACCUUGACCACACCACCCGACACUCAUCUGCAAUAUCCAAUGGCAGCUCCACUGUGUGAGAAGACCCUUGGUAAUGAGAAAUCUUGUUACCUCGUCUCUGGAUCUCUCAACAUUGUAGAAGCGGGCACCGGUGAACAGAGGCCAAGUUUCAGCAACAAGUUCCCAGCUGUUCAUCUCUGCGCUUGGACACCUGUGCAUACACCCCUGGAUAACUCUCUGCACCUGAGGCACAGAAGCAUUGUUCAGAUGACUGAUGCCUGCAAUCAGAAAGAAAGGUCAAGAAGAUGCCACGAUGUCUGCCUUGGCUCAACAACAUAAGGCAAUCUGAACAAAUGGGCUUUGAAGUUGAAGCUC